AUUGAACGCUGGCGGCAUGCUUUACACAUGCAAGUCGAGCGGCAGCGCGGGGGCAACCCUGGCGGCGAGCGGCGAACGGGUGAGUAAGGCAUCGGAACGUGUCCCGGAGUGGGGGAUAAACCGGCGAAAGCCGGACUAAUACCGCAUAUGCUCUGAGGAGGAAAGUGGGGGACCUGUGAGGGCCUCAUGCUCUGGGAGCGGCCGAUGUCCGAUUAGCUGGUUGGUGGGGUAAUGGCUUACCAAGGCGACGAUCGGUAGCUGGUCUGAGAGGAUGAUCAGCCACACUGGGACUGAGACACGGCCCAGACUCCUACGGGAGGCAGCAGUGGGGAAUUUUGGACAAUGGGGGCAACCCUGAUCCAGCCAUGCCGCGUGCGGGAAGAAGGCCUUCGGGUUGUAAACCGCUUUUAGCUGGGAAGAAAAGGUUCACCCGAAUACGGUGGAUUCUUGACGGUACCGGCGGAAUAAGCACCGGCUAACUACGUGCCAGCAGCCGCGGUAAGAC
rnacentral:rRNA from 1 species